CUGGAGAGAGCAAGGAGGAGUAUGAGAUACUACUCUGCGUCAGGACAGCCUUAAAACGAAUGUCGUGUAUUCUCAGCUUUGAGAACUGAAUUCCAUGGGUUGUAAUUGAAUCUGCUGUCAGACCCAUGGGGCUCAGUUCUUCAGCUUGGAUAUUUCUGUCUUCACAUACACAGGAGAUCAAAGAAGCACUUGAUCAUUCGCUGACUCUUCUGGAUUGUGAUAGCGGCAAGUAGGAGAGAAAGAAUAACUGAUGUGAAUCAUUUUAACAGGGAGGUUUCAUUGCAAAGGCCAGGCUCUCUCAUGUUAAAUAGCUAUAUAGUGAUUGAGUCUUUUCUUAGCUGAUAGGCUCUGUGUUGCUGCUCUCUGUUUAAUUCACUCUGUUCUUUCCUCUCGGUUUUAUCAAGGUUACAUAUAAAUCCCUGAGAUAUUGUUGACUGAAUGACGGUCCCCAAAUAAUGCAAAGUGGUGCAGUGCUCCUAACGGCAGCCAUGGUGAGCUGCACUAGACCAGUGAAACCCUGGACCUCCCCAGUCUGAACGCCAAGUUUGCCAACUGAUAACCUGCUGUAACCUCCUCUGUCCAGUGCCACUGCUGUACAGUUAUUGUUUCUUUUGCUUUGUCUUAUGCCAAAUACCCAUUUUCAGCAAAAAAAUAAUCUUAGUUGUGACUGUAAAGAAUAUGCAUUUGCACCAGCCACCACCACCCUUGCAUAAACACUUAGGGAGCUUCUAGUGUAAUCAGUGAUGGCAAUGUGUGUGCUGUGUGAAGGCUCGGCAGCACAAGCAUCCCCUUAUAGGGGGAUUCAUUCAAGUCACAGGCUGAUUUUUUUUCUUGGAGGAUCUAUGUUCAAAUUUUUCAUUCAGGCAUCAGGAAAAUUAUAUUUGUGGUCUAUAAGCAUGUAAAGAGUUAUCAUUACCAAUGAGCUUUCCACCUCUUUCCUGCAAUAAUAACACCUUCCUAAAUUACAUUUUUCCAACUCGGUAAAGUAGAUCAUGCACUGAUCUUAUCCCUAUCGUGCAAUGCUCUUAAAAGCAUAGAAAUAUUAAAAUCCCACAGGUGCAGGAGCGGUGUGUUCAGCUAAGUAGCUUAAAACUGUCAUGUGCCUUUUAUGCUGAAAAUGUAUUUACACUAAAAAUAAUCAGAUCUAAUCACUGUUGCCUGUGGAUACAGAUGUACCUUCAUACUGAUGUGCUUUUCAUAUAAAUUUUUAUUGUAGCGGUUGAAGAGCUUCUUUGUGGCUGUCUGAAAUGUACCGUGCUCACCAGUCUAGAAAUUAUAGUUCUUGGAAGAGCUCACCAGUUCCACCAGCUCAUGCUGUGGCAAUAUCCAUUAAACAAGAGGGAGAAACGCACAAACAAAGGAUGAUAUUGAAGUUUCAUUUUUUUUAUUUCAUCCCUGUCAGAAAGAGGAAAUGAAAUUUGAGGUCAGACUUAGCAAAGUCUGCAAAGGAAGAGAGAGUGACAGAACAGUUUUAGAGGAUGUCUAAUGCAGGCGGCGUGGUGGAUAUUAGAUGGCUGAAGGCGCAAAACUUCAUCCACUUCCUUCACUAUGAAGUCCAACCUCCAGGCAGUGAUGCGGCAGAGAAGAUGAUGUGUGUAUGGUGGUAACCACGCAAGGCCGCUGAUGAAAUCAAGAUGGUCUUUGGUACAGGAGUCUUUGCAGUCCCACCUUUUUGAGGGCAGUCCCCAAAAUGUGGUCAAGGAAGAAACAGAAAUACCAUUCUUCACGUGACAGUGGACUUCUGACCUCUCUCAGUGAUGUGAAGGAGGCAGCUGCCUAGUGCUGAAAUACAGAUCCAGGGCACCACUGGCUUACCUGUAAGCAACCACAAUACCUCAGCCACUGGAAAGCGCGGCAGAUAUUUCAGUGUGGUUCAGUGAGAUGCCUCUCAUGCUUUAAGCUAAGCAAGUGCCUGUGCUUUGGGAGGAUGGCAAUCAGGGCAGAAAUGGUGGAGCUGCGGUCUGACCAUGGCAGGAGCAGCACUGGCAUUGGCAGCUGGGUCUGGAAGGGAUGCUGGCAGGACCCGGGAGGAACUCGGAAUCAGCUCCUGCCUCCUCAGCAGCUCUGCCUGAGGUCAGGUCUCACUGCAGGCGGUGAACAACUCCUUCCCUCCUUUGCAAAAGAGGGAGCAGAAAAGAAGAAAAGGUGGCAGACUCGAACAUGAGUGUUGCCAGUGAUAACAAGAAACCCCAGCAGUGUGCACACACGCAGGCAAAGCAGCACACACAAACACACAGAGCACAUCACGAUCCAGUGUGGAGAAGUCUGUCUGAGACCAGAUUAAUGGUCAGUCUGAAAAGGAGAGGAUGAGCCUUGGAGACUGAAAUACCUUCUCCCGGUUAGACACAGCUCACAGAGACUCACUCUGUGCACACGUGGGCACAGCUGGUUGGGAAAGCAUAUGCUGCCCAUUUGACAUGUAAGAAAUUUACCCUGUCAGAUAAGCAAGACUUCAGGACUAUAUCUGUAGCAUCUAUUAGGAACGGCAAAUUAAUUAAAAGUAUGAACUAAUUAAC